AGUCGAUGGCCUUCGGCGUAAAGAGUGGUUAAGAUUCGAUAAAUACUAAAGCCAAACGACUUCAAAGCUGUUAUACGCACAUGAAGACAUGAAGCCCAACUACGAAAGUGGCUUUAAAUUUCUGACUCCACGAAAGCUAUGGUACAAACUGGGAUUAGAUACCCCACUAUGCCUAGCCAUAAACAUAGAUAAUCACGUACUUUUUUAUCCGCCCGGGUACUACGAGCAUCAGCUUAAAACCCAAAGGACUUGGCGGUGCUUUAGAUCCACCUAGAGGAGCCUGUUCUAGAACCGAUAAUCCCCGUUAAACCUCACCUUUCCUUGCCUAAUCCGCCUAUAUACCGCCGUCGCCAGCUUACUCUGUGAAGAGUCUGUAGUAAGCACAAUCGGUACAACCCAAAACGUCAGGUCGAGGUGUAGCGUAUGAAAAGGGAAGAAAUGGGCUACAUUCAAUAAUAAUAAUGAACACGAAUAAUGUUUUGAAAGAAACAAUUGAAGGAGGAUUUAGUAGUAAGCAGGGAAUAGAGCGCCCUGCUGAAACCGGCCCUGAAGCGCGCACACACCGCCCGUCACUCUCCCCGAGCUAACACAAGCUAAUCACUAAUAAACAACAA
rnacentral:rRNA from 1 species